CGCUUACCACUUUGUGAUUCAUGACUGGGGUGAAGUCGUAACAAGGUAACCGUAGGGGAACCUGCGGUUGGAUCACCUCCUUAUCUUAAAGAAGC
rnacentral:rRNA from 1 species